AGUUUGAUCCUGGCUCAGGAUGAACGCUAGCGGCAGGCCUAACACAUGCAAGUCGAGGGGUAACAGGGAGUGCUUGCACUCCGCUGACGACCGGCGCACGGGUGCGCACCGCGUAUGGAACCUGCCUCUUGCAGGGGAAUAGCCCAGGGAAACUUGGAUUAAUGCCCCAUAGUACCUAUCCACGGCAUUGUGGAUUGGUUAAAGCCUUCGGGCGGCGAGAGAUGGCCAUGCGUCCCAUUAGCUAGAUGGUAAGGUAACGGCUUACCAUGGCUACGAUGGGUAGGGGCCCUGAGAGGGGGAUCCCCCACACUGGUACUGAGACACGGACCAGACUCCUACGGGAGGCAGCAGUGAGGAAUAUUGGACAAUGGGCGGGAGCCUGAUCCAGCCAUGCCGCGUGCAGGAAGACGGCCCUACGGGUUGUAAACUGCUUUUAUACGGGAAGAAGAACAGCUACGUGUAGUUGACUGACGGUACCGUAAGAAUAAGGACCGGCUAACUCCGUGCCAGCAGCCGCGGUAAUA
rnacentral:rRNA from 1 species